UCGGGAAUUUUGGGCAAUGGGCGAAAGCCUGACCCAGCAACGCCGCGUGAAGGAUGAAGUAUUUCGGUAUGUAAACUACGAAAGAAUAGGAAGAAUAAAUGACGGUACUAUUUAUAAGCCCCGGCUAACUUCGUGCCAGCAGCCGCGGUAAUACGAAGGGGGCUAGCGUUGUUCGGAAUUACUGGGCGUAAAGCGCACGUAGGCGGAUUGAUAAGUUAGAGGUGAAAUCCCGGGGCUCAACCUCGGAACUGCCUUUGAUACUGUUAGUCUCGAGUCCGAUAGAGGUGAGUGGAAUUCCUAGUGUAGAGGUGAAAUUCGUAGAUAUUAGGAAGAACACCAGUGGCGAAGGCGGCUCACUGGAUCGGUACUGACGCUGAGGUGCGAAAGCGUGGGGAGCAAACAGGAUUAGAUACCCUAGUAGUCCCUGAGCGGGCUGGCAAGGCGCAU
rnacentral:rRNA from 1 species